UACGAAGGGGGCUAGCGUUGCUCGGAAUCACUGGGCGUAAAGCGCACGUAGGCGGCUUUCUAAGUCAGGGGUGAAAUCCCGGGGCUCAACCUCGGAACUGCCUUUGAUACUGCAAAUCUCGAGUCCGGAAGAGGUGAGUGGAAUUCCUAGUGUAGAGGUGAAAUUCGUAGAUAUUAGGAAGAACACCAGUGGCGAAGGCGGCUCACUGGUCCGGUACUGACGCUGAGGUGCGAAAGCGUGGGGAGCAAACAGG
rnacentral:rRNA from 1 species